AACCUCCACACUGUAGAUGGCAGUAAUACAGCAGCUAGAGUUCAGUCCGUCUGCAGAUCAUAAAACAGCAGCAGUAACAGAGAAUUUCAGCAGCCUGCAGGGUUAUUUAAUUAAUUACACGCUUGGAUCUUCUGAUUACGGUCGUUUGAAGAUUUGCAGAAGCAGAAGACUCCCCCCUGAGUCUGCAGAGCACUGCUCCACAGCCUGUAUUCACUAACACUGUCCUUCGUGUCUGCGGUGACAACAUCAGUCAGUUAUCAUCACAUACAACAUACAGUACCAGUCAAAGUUUCAGCACAUCUCAUUAAAACCAUAAUUUUUCACAUUUGCCUCCGCUCCCACUCAUUGUCAUGAAAUGUAAACUAGCAGAUUAAGACUUUAGGUUAAUCAUCUGCUAAUAAUCUAAAAUAAAUAUAGGUUAUAUAAGAAUACUGUUAACUCUUUUUUUGAAUGUGUAGCAAAAGAGAAUGGCAAAACAUGCACAGUUAAGCCGGGAAAAAAGGCAGUCCAUCCUUAUUUUAAGAAAGGAAGGUUUGUCUUUAAAGAAAAUAGCAAAAGCACUGGAAGUUUCUGUAAACGCUGUGGCUAAGACCCUAAAACGCGUCGAAGAAACCGGCACUUACGAAGACAGAGUAAGGUCAGGCAGACCAAAAGUUACGUCAGAAAUGGAGAACAAGUUUAUUCAACUAGCCUGUGAACAAAAUGGGGACAUAUCAGCCCCACAAAUACAGGCACAGCUUAAUGCUACAAGACAAACAGAUGUUUCAGUAUCAACAGUUCAGAGAAGAUUGCGUGAGGCUGGUUUAUCUAAAGGGCAGAAACAGAGAAAGAGCUCUGUGAUGAAAACAAGAGUAGAAGAUGAACAAUUCAAUUAAAAUUAGAAAGCUGAGGAAUGGUUAAUGUACAGUCUUAAUCUUAAAGUCCUUCUGAUGCAGUAGCAGUCAAAUAUUUGGACACACUUAAUGGAAUAUGUGUUUUCCAUGAUAAAAAAGAAAUUUGAGUGCAAGAACUUUUUCUUUAGUUUUGUCUCAAAGACAAAUGUAGACGGUGCUGCCAGUGUACAAAGCCGUUUUAUUAGCCGUGUUUGGCUAAGUUUCAAUUUCAUCCUUUUUUAUUAUUAUUAUUUAUCAGAAUAGGCAUGUCCAAACAUAUUUAUUGAUUUUUUGCACAAUUUUGACACCUUAUUAUUUAAUUUGCUGAAUUUGUGGCAAUAUUGUUUAAAUCUUUCCUCAUUUUUUUGAUUUGAGUAAACUUUAGACUGGUACUGUCAUGUCUUUGAGUAUGCACUUGGGCCAUGCUGCUGAAAGCCCUUCCCUGGAGCCCCAUUGAUGACAUCUAACCUCCAAUUGAUAUCAAAGAUGUCUCUCUGGGUCUGGCACAGCGUCUUCUUCACGAGAGGAUUCUACUUGCCGGCUCCUGUGAUUCACAUGACCCAUAUUAAUACUGGAUUCAGCACCUCCAUUCAUUCAUACUCUUUUCAGACUUUCUCAUUUAGCUUUUAAUUUUUUUUUUCCAUCCUCUGACUCAAAAGUGGUGUAUAACAUCAAACUAUGGCAGAUGGAGGUGAAUUAAAUAGGUUCUCUAUAGACAGCAGAAGAUACAGAGCAGGUAGCUAGAAACGCUCUCAAUAAAAAAACGAACAGCAUCAGUAGAAGCUGAUGGACAUACUUGGUGGAGUGAAUGAAUGAACUGCUUGGAUGUUAAGGGUAAAUGUUUUGGUUUGUCUUUUUUUGUGAAAUUACAGUUAUACACAACCGUUAAGAGUAUUCUUUGCUCCAACUGGUUAUGCAUGUAAAUUGAAGAUGAAAAACACUAAUAAAUCAUUUGUUUCUGUCCUGGUUACAAAUUGCAUAAUAUUCUAUUUUUCUAGUUCUAAUUAAUCUAGUUUUCGGACCCCAACCAUGCCAAAGGUUUUUUUGCAGAGCUGGACAAGCCAAAUGUAUUUGCAUUUCAUUGUGUGCAGCUGACGCCAACAUUUUCCCAAAUGUUUUUGAAAACAGCUCUCCUGCCCAAAGGUUUUUAGGCUCCCAUGAUUUAGCCAUAAGCUUCUGAACACAGUUUAGCGCUGUUCAUCAAUGUGGAACAAUGUGUAGAUUUAGAGAAUUAUAAAGUGCAGUGUAGUCAUUUGCAAUCUCAACAUAGACUUAUCUGCAUACAAUCACAGUUAUUGACAAACUGAAAAUAGGGUGACUGUUUGAUUAAAUAAAUUUGCUUUCUUUUAAAUAAAUUACAAUUCUUUUUUUAAAACAAAUGCAUCUCGAAAAAUUUGAAUAUCAUUGAAAAAGUAACUUUAUUUCAGUUAUUCAGUUCAAAAUGUGAAAUGUGUAUAUAUUUAAUAUAUAGAUGUAUUACUCAUAGAAUGAUCUAUUUUAUGACAACCCAAAAAUCAGUGUCUCGGAAAAUUAGUAUAUUAUAUAAGUACUUAGGGCAGUGUGCCAAGUCCUGCUGGAAAAUAAAAUCUGCAUCUCCAUAAAAGUUGUCAGAAGACGGAAGCAUGAAGUGCUGUAAAACACUGCACUGACUUUAGACUUGAUAUAACACAGUGGAUCAACACCAGCAGAUGACAUGUCUCUCCAAACCAUCACUGACCAUCAGUAAAUUUUGUAUAUAUUGAUGCAGCAAUAGAAUACAAGUCACAAACUCCAUAGUAAUACACAAUCUAAACGUGGUUUUUCCAUCAUCAGCUCUAAAAGAUGUUAUGCAACAUUUAAAAAACAUCAAAAUAGAAAACUAAAGCUACGUUUAUUGAAUAUUUUUUGUUAUCAGGGUAGUUUAGCUAUAAUUGUAUAAACCUCCGCCCUGUAGAUGGCAGUAAUACAUCUGCUGGUGUUCAGCUGUCUGCAGAUCCUAAAACAGCAGCAGCAGGAUCAGGAGCUUCAGCAGGAGCAGCUGCUGCAGUGUUAGUGAUAUAUGUAUAUAUUUUAUCACGCUUCGUUGUUCAUAUGAUGGUCGUUUGAUCAUUUGCUUCAUUAAAGUCUUCAGACCCCCCCAGUCUGUGCAGCACUGCCCCUCAGCCUGUGUUCACUAUCAGUGACCUUUGUGGAAACCCCUCCCUCUGCUGCGACUGCAUCAAAGUAUAAUUUGGGGCGUUCAUUAUUGAAGAUACAUUACCAGUCCAAAGUUUUCUUAUGUCUGAUGGAAACUAAGUUUUUAUAAUGUCCACUUUAACUUUUACCUGUGUGAUGGUUAAAUUCUGAUUAAUAUUUUUGUGAUGAUGUGAGAUGUAAAUUAGCAGGUUAACAUAUUAGCAUUCUGUUAGCAAUUAUUACAUCAGGUAAGUGUAUAGUAGUGAGUAAUACAUAGUAAAAUAAAAGAGGUUGUAUAAGCACACUAUUGAUAUUGUUAAACAUUAAAAAAGAGCAGAAAAUGGCAAAGCACGCUCAGUUAAGCAGAGAAAAAAGAGAAUCUAUAAUGUCUUUACGAAAAGAAGGUCAGUCUUUAAGAAAGAUUGCGAAAACACUACAGGUGUCUGUAAAUGCUGUUUCAAAGACGAUCAAACGCGUUGAAGAAACCGGUACUCAUGAAGAUCGAGCCAGAUCGGGCAGACCAAAGGUCACCUCAGAGUCAGAAAAUAAUUUUAUUAAGCUCACAUGUGCACAAAACGAGGAAUUAACUGCCCCACAAAUACAAGCACAGCUAAACGCUGUUAGAAAUACAGACGUUUCAAUAUCAACAAUUCAAAGACGGUUGCGUGAGGCAGGUUUAUCCAGAGGGCAAAAACACAGAAAGGCUGCUUUGAGCCAAAACAGCAAAGAAGCAGGAAAGUUAAAAGAAGAAAAUGCUAAGUCUUAAGUAAGUAUUAAAUAAUAUUAAUUAAAUUAAUAUUACAGAGAUAAGUAAGUCUAAUGACCUUUGUGUGAAAUAACUUCUUGCCAAAUGUAAGUAGUGUCAAGAGUGUAAAAAGUGAUGUAAGUGAGAGGGCUUUGAUUUGCAUUAAUUGCUGUAUAGUUUCUUUCAUUCUAAUCAUUUUUGCAAAAUACAAGAACGAGAACAACUUACUUUGAGUGCUUGUGUCCACUAGUGAGUGUUGUGUAUACAAGAUACAUAUAAGCUGUCUCAGUUCAUCCUGCAUGUGUACAAGUAUAUGCAGUGCCACAAAUUAAAGCUGGUAUUCCAUAGUACUGAAACUUGCAAGAAUAAAAAAAAUAUUAUAAAACAUAUAUUAAAAAGAGAAGUACAUUCUGUAAUCACCCAGGAUGCUUCAAUUGCAGGAAGCUUUUAAAAAUCCUCAUUUGUUGCCAGGCAGACUUUCAUUGGUUUUGACAUUCAUCAGCUCUGCUUAGACACAGUUAGACAUGCACAUCUUACCUGUUUGAUCAAUCUAAGAAAAACAGGAUUACAUUUUUAAAUCCUCCCACACCAGUGUUUAACCACGACGUCGUUCUGUAUGGAGUUUGCAUGUUCUCUGUGGGUCCGGCUCCCCGUGACCCAACCCGGAAUGGAUCACGCCGGGUUGAAGAUGAACGUCCCAUGACUUUAGGCAUGUUUGUACCAAGAUUGCAAGAAUUCUGAAUAAUCCUGUAAUGUUCUGCAUUAUGAAACAGCCUAAAACAGACCUCAAAACUGAUCAGUUACUGUGUUGUAGAUGACAAGGACAAAAGUGAUGACCUCUUCUGCCUGUUUUUUUUAGGUAUCAAUACCAUAGCACUUGCUAACAGAAUGCCUUGUGUAUCUGAACUAAACUGUUAUUCACACAAAGGUCAGACUCACUGACUAUUUUGUAUUGAAACACUGUUUUGAUAUGUCUUAAUAUUUAUGUAUAUUCAGGUAUUUGAAAAUACAGAAAUUGUAACACUUUCGAACAGACCUACCUAGAUUUCAGCAAGUGUGCUUUUGGCUGGUACUGUACUUCAAUAUACUGUCCACAGAUUAGCAGGACACUAUGGCCCAGAAUCAUGCUGCUUUGGCAUCAGCAACCAGAGUCCGAGAGAGCACAACUGGCCAUGCUCUCCCCUGGCGUUUGUUGGCACAGACUUGAAGCAGGAGGUCUGAUGCUGCUUGGUAAUCCUUCCUUAGAACCAAUUCAAAAGAUUUGUUGGCUGACUUCACAAUUUGGAGGCAUGCACUUGUCCUGAUACUCCUAAUGUCGGGAGAAUUUCAACUGAUGGGAUAAUUGGAUUAGCUAAACUGGGGUGAAAAUUGGAUUAAAAAGAUGCUUCGGACAAGCUGAUGGAAGAUUUUCAUAUCACUUAAAAACAAAACAAAAAAACAGGUACCUGACGGGAUUCCUUGCCUUUCCUGAGUUCUUCUGGCUUCUAGCACACUUCACUGCUCCAGCCAUUACUGUUAUCUUUUCCGUUCCUGUCCUUUCCUCUGGCUUACAUCUCUUGUGGUGUAGAAGAACCAGCUACGGUAGAUGAAAAAGAAUGAAACUGCUGCUACAUGGAAAGCUGAAAAUAUACAGCUCAAGACUCAAUAACAAACUAUACAGUAUCAGGAUAACCUGGUGAAGAUUUUUUUUUAAACACCAGAGACCAAAGACUUACAGAAGUGAGCAGAGAAAGAAAAAAAAAACUUAACAUAAACCUCAAACGUAAUACUUUUAAAAGAUUACUAAGUGUAUUUUAGGUUCAUUAUAUUAUAUUAUAUUUUGUUUUUCUGCGUGUGAAUGUUGGUCCUUAAUAAUGUUUUCUGUGAGAUGUUUAAUAAUACAUUCCUACAAUGAUCCAUUUUCUGCUCCUUUUUACUUUUUUGUGAAUUUUAUACAAUUAACCCUGAGCAUUUCAAAUGUUUUAAGCAUAUUUUUCCCCUCAACCAGAUGUUGCCACCUCUGUGCUUUACAAUUAGGAAAUAGUGUUCUGAUGAUGAUCAAAUCUGAUCAAAGUUAUCUGAUUUAUUAGAUUUAAUAGUCAUGUAAAUGCUUUACUUAAUUUCCUUAUGGUGGAUUUAGAAAUCAGAUUAAGCAAGUUUUCAGCACAUGUAUAUUAUUGCUUUAAUUAAAUUUGGUUUUCUCCGUUUUACCAUUUAUGGGGAUGUAACCAGAUGUGAGAGACAUUUGAGUAGUUCAGUAGUAUUUGCUGCCAGAAGUUGAUCCAUGUUGAUAAAAGGCCACAGCAGGAAGCUUCAAGUUUACGUCACAUCUGUCUGUUCCUGUAUAAAUCAGAUUAUUGCCUGGCUGAGGUUUUCUAUUAUCUGAUUAUACAAGUUUAUGUAAAUGUAUCAACUCAAAUCAACUUAAAUGUGGUGUUUUACACAAAAGCAAAAGUGUUUAUCAGACCAGAGAACAUAUUCCAUCGGCUCCAAACUCUAUAUAGAAUUUUUUUGCCUUUUUUUUUCUCUCUAACAAUAAAAUUUUCAACAAUA